rnacentral:rRNA from 1 species
UACGUAGGGGCCCAGCGUUGUCCGGAUUCAUUGGGCGUAAAGCGCGCGCAGGCGGCCCGGUGUGCCGCCCGUGAAAUCCCCCGGCUCAACCGGGGGGGGUCGGGCGAGACUGGCGGGCUGGAGGCGGGUAGGGGGCAGCGGAAUUCCCGGUGUAGUGGUGGAAUGCGUAGAUAUCGGGAGGAACACCAGUGGCGAAGGCGGCUGCCUGGACCCGGCCUGACGCUGAGGCGCGAAAGCGUGGGGAGCGAUCCGG